rnacentral:rRNA from 1 species
GAUGAACGCUGGCGGUAUGCUUAACACAUGCAAGUCGAACGGUACCUUCGGGUAUAGUGGCGGACGGGUGAGUAACGCGUGAGAAUCUAUCUUCAGGUCGGGGACAACAGUUAGAAAUGACUGCUAAUACCGGAUGUGCCGAAAGGUAAAAGAUUUAUUGCCUGAAAAAGAGCUCGCGUCAGAUUAGCUAGUAGGUGGUGUAAGAGACUACCUAGGCUUCGAUCUGUAGCUGGUCUGAGAGGACGAUCAGCCACACUGGAACUGAGACACGGUCCAGACUCCUACGGGAAGCAGCAGUGGGGAAUUUUCCGCAAUGGGCGAAAGCCUGACGGAGCAAUACCGCGUGAGGGACGAAGGCUCUUGGGUCGUAAACCUCUUUUCUCAAGGAAGAUUCAGACGGUACUUGAGGAAUAAGCAUCGGCUAACUCUGUG